rnacentral:rRNA from 1 species
GAUGAACGCUAGCGGGAGGCCUAACACAUGCGAGCCGAGCGGUAUUGUUUCUUCGGAAAUGAGAGAGCGGCGUACGGGUGCGUAACACGUGUGCAACCUGCCUUUAUCUGGGGGAUAGCCUUUCGAAAGGAAGAUUAAUACUCCAUAAUAUAUUGAACGGCAUCGUUUAAUGUUGAAAGCUCCGGCGGAUAGAGAUGGGCACGCGCAAGAUUAGCUAGUUGGUGAGGUAACGGCUCACCAAGGCGAUGAUCUUUAGGGGGCCUGAGAGGGUGAUCCCCCACACUGGUACUGAGACACGGACCAGACUCCUACGGGAGGCAGCAGUGAGGAACAUUGGUCAAUGGGUGCAAGCCUGAACCAGCCAUCCCGCGUGAAGGACGACUGCCCUAUGGGUUGUAAACUUCUUUUGUAUAGGGAUAAACCUACCCUCGUGAGGGUAGCUGAAGGUACUAUACGAAUAAGCGCCGGCUAACUCCGUG